rnacentral:rRNA from 1 species
AUUGAACGCUAGCGGAAUGCUUUACACAUGCAAGUCGAACGAGUGGUGGACGGGUGAGUUAUAUAUUGGAACGUGCACAGUAGCGGGGGAUAUCUACUCGAAAGUGAGGCUAUUACGGCAUACUAUCGGAUUGGCCGAUAGCGGAUUGGCAGGGUGGUGGGGUAAAGGCUCAGCAAGGGAACGGUCCGUAGCUGGGUUGAGAGGACGACCAGCCACACUGGGACUGAGACACGGCCCAGGCGCCUAGGGGAGGCAGCAGUGGGGAAUUUGGGACAAGGGGGGAAGCCCAGAUGCAGACGUCCCACGUGUAUGAGAAGGACUUCGGGUUGUAAAAUACAUUUGGCAGGGAGGCGGUAUCUGCAGAAGAAGCACCGGCUAACUACGUGCCAGCAGCCGCGGUAAUUC